AACGAACGCUGGCGACAGGCUUAACACAUGCAAGUCGAGCGCCCCGCAAGGGGAGCGGCAGACGGGUGAGUAACGCGUGGGAAUCUACCCAUCUCUACGGAAUAACGCAUGGAAACGUGUGCUAAUACCGUAUACGUCCUUCGGGAGAAAGAUUGUAUCGGAGAUGGAUGAGCCCGCGUUGGAUUAGCUAGUUGGUGGGGUAAAGGCCUACCAAGGCGACGAUCCAUAGCUGGUCUGAGAGGAUGAUCAGCCACACUGGGACUGAGACACGGCCCAGACUCCUACGGGAGGCAGCAGUGGGAAUAUUGGACAAUGGGCGCAAGCCUGAUCCAGCCAUGCCGCGUGAGUGAUGAAGGCCCUAGGGUUGUAAAGCUCUUUCACCGGUGAAGAUAAUGACGGUAACCGGAGAAGAAGCCCCGGCUAACUUCGUGCCAGCCGCCGCCGUAACAC
rnacentral:rRNA from 1 species